CCCCUUCCUCAAGGAUCCUGCCUUUGAAGGGGCGUGGGCAAUCAAUAAUUAACCAGGCCAACUCAAUAUAAAAAGAUUUAGCUUUUAAUAGAUGGGGAAAACUUACAUUACCAGAGAUCCCAUGAACACCAGAUGAGCAGGGAACCAAAGAGAGGAAGUGACAAGGCACUUCGAUCUUUUAUUUGUUUUGUGUGGCCCCAGGGGGACACACCUUAAGCAGAAUGUGAUUGGCCGAGAUUCCCCAUCAUGCCUUGGCCUUCCUCAGUGGCAGACUGUAACCUACUAGCUGUAACAAACCCUUUCCUUCUCGAGUUCCUUUUGGUCAUGUAUCACAGCAAUAGAAAGCGAAGCAGGACUUUUAACUCUCUGGUGUUGUUUUACAGAGACAGGAGGCGGGGCCCAUCCUCAGUGUCCUCGAGGCUACUAAUCCUCCCACCCCAAGAUCACUUAGGAGAUGAGCUGAAAUUAGGGAAUAGUCACUCAUUUCCAACAAAACAAUGACAGUGAAACUCAGAUCCAGUUCCAAAACCAGAAGGGACUGGAGUCUCAGACACAUCCUCACUUAUAUGUAGCUCAGGAAGGGCGCUCCUUCAGGUGCACAGGGAGAACAAAGCUGAGUUCCCUUCUGGGAUUCCUGCCCUCUAGCCAAGGCAGAACCCAGGACAUUUGCAGCUUCUGGGAAGGAUGAAAAUGCUGCCUUUGGGGUGUCAGCCCUAAGCGGCCAGUUAAGCUUCUACCCCGUUCUGAUCAACUGUGGGAAUUAGCCAGAUGAUGGAUUUUUCUCUCACAGAUGUAAAUGUGGCUGUUUCUGGGGUCGCUUUAAAGUCACCAAGGACAUUCUUUUAUUUGUCUCCAGUUUAUAGAAAAACUGUUAAGCAAGUCGGCAUAUUCAAGACUAGUGCAUGGUGAAUGUACCCUCUACCGGAAGUCUGUUUGGCUUUGUGCAAUUCAUAGAAGGAAAGUGAUCAUUUCACUGCUUCUUAACUGUGCUGCUUGGUUUAAAAAUUAUGCAUAACCACUGUUGCAUUUACUGAAAGAUGGAUAGAUGGAAUUAGCAUUGGGAAAGGUUUGUGGGCACCAUUGACUCUCAUUCUGUCCUCAUGCCACAGGUGAUGGGGCGGGGGCAGAGGUGAAAUACCUAAUGCUAUCGUCAUGUUGUGGGCGGUGGGGUGGAGGCAGAAGUGAAGUACCUAAGUGAAGCAGAAGCAAAUUCCUCUACUGGAAGUGGUGUGGACUACGAAUAAAGCCUCACAAUAACGAGGCCAGCACUGCAUGCCCUUGACGGGGCUGCUUGCUCGGAACUCAUUCUUCUCUGAAAAAAAUAAUAUAUGAUGGUUUCUGAAAACCACGUAUCUAACGCUAUUUAUUGUAUUCUCUAGUUUCUCCAGGACGGCGGCUACACGGGAAAGAGAGGAGGGGCCUUGACGCUAUAGCCUAAGCUUGGCCAUACAUUUGGAGCAGGAGAUGCCAGUCUCAUAUAGCACCUAUGCCAAUCCGAGUUCCCGUCGCUCCAAAUCAUCUUUAAUAGUGUUUUAUUAGAACCAGGACCCGAUUGGCGACGUGGGUUGUGUCCGUUCUUAGCUUCGAUGUGCUUAGGUUGACUGCUUGGGAUUGGAAAAACCUGUUCAGAAUCUCAGCCCUGGAGCAAACGGAUUCUUCUUGUCCUAGCAGUUAUUGAUGCCUGUAGCACUGAUGGGAGCUCCAGUCUGAGGGUCCUGUAGAGUGUAUGCUGACUUCAAGACUGAAUGCGUGUUUCCUGAGUUAACUGGAAGAACUGUGGAGAGAGUCAUCAGGAAGCGAAGGGACUGGAAGCUGCCAGUCACGGAGUCGUCAUACAGUCUGGGGAUGGAAGUUGGCACCAAGGCAACUGCUGUGACGUUUCUAGUUUCGUAUCUGUUACCGCGACGAAGACCCCGACAAAGAGCAACUUAGGGAGAAGAGUUAAUUCAGCUCCCAGUGCCUGGCUAGAGUUCCUCUUUGUAGAGACGUCAAGAGGGCAGAGCUGGAAGUAGCUGGGCACAUCACACACCCUGUCAAGAGCAGAGAGAGAUGAAUGCAUGCAUGUCUCUGCUGAGCUUCAUUUCUUUACUCUCAUACAGUCCAAGACCCGAAUCCAGGGAAUGGUGUUGCCCACUGUGGACUGGGUCUUUGCAGUGCACAACGCCUGUCUGUGUUCUAUGCACUGCCUAGCAGCUUCGCGAGCUUCAGGCAAGGGGCUGGAGGUUGAAACAUACAAAAACACACAGACACAGAGACAGAGACACGGACCUCUAGUCACUGAUAAGAAGUCCUUUAUUCCAUUGCACCGCGGAGGCUUAUAUACCCAACAGUCAGGUGGGCCAACAGGUGAAAACCUUAUCCUCUGAUCCUCAAGGCCAAGGUAACACAUACUCGUGUAGCAGAGCUGGUAGACAACUUUGACACAGCUUUCAGCAACUCAAAUCAGAAGGAAAGUAAAGAUCUCUAGCAGAGAAGAGCAGCUGGAGGCCAGGACUCCAAAUGGUCCCAACAGGUCUUCCUUCAUCAGUCAACUUGAUUAAGAAAAGCAUCCCUCACAGACAUGCUCACAGGGCAGCCUGAUCUCAGACAUGCUCACAGGCCAGCAGAUGUGCUCAUGGGCUAGCCUGAUCCAGAUGUACUCAUGGGCCAGCCUGAUCACAGACAUGCUCACGGGCCAGCCUGAUCUCAGACAUACAGGCCAGCAGAUGUGCUCAUGGGCUAGCCUGAUCCAGAUGUGCUCAUGGGCCAGCCCGAUCACAGACAUGCUCACAGGCCAGCAGACGGGAGCUAUAGAUCCCGGACCCCUUGAUUUUCUUUGCCUGCUGCAGAUUCUUUGCCUGCUGGAGUGAACUGAGCACGAGACCUCACCUGCAGCUGCUCUGAACAUGAGACCUCGUUUGUAGCUGCUCUGAGCACAAGACCCUGGUGGUAGGCUGAUGAGACCUGCAGCUGAAAGAUCUGGAGAGCUGGGCGUGGCUAAGGAUCCCUAUGUAAGCUGCCACUGAGCACAAUAAAGUUUGGCAUUUGGCCUUUGGCAUUCUUGUAUCAAGGAUGACCUGUGUCCA